rnacentral:rRNA from 1 species
GUGGGGGAUAUUGCACAAUGGGGGAAACCCUGAUGCAGCGACGCCGCGUGAGUGAAGAAGUAUUUCGGUAUGUAAAGCUCUAUCAGCAGGGAAGAUAAUGACGGUACCUGACUAAGAAGCACCGGCUAAAUACGUGCCAGCAGCCGCGGUAAUACGUAUGGUGCAAGCGUUAUCCGGAUUUACUGGGUGUAAAGGGAGCGUAGACGGCAAAGCAAGUCUGAUGUGAAAGCUAUGGGCUCAACCCAUAAACUGCAUUGGAAACUGUUUAGCUAGAGUGUCGGAGAGGUAAGUGGAAUUCCUAGUGUAGCGGUGAAAUGCGUAGAUAUUAGGAGGAACACCGGUGGCGAAGGCGGCUUACUGGACGAUAACUGACGUUGAGGCUCGAAAGCGUGGGGAGCAAACAGG